CCUACGGGACGCAGCAGUGGGGGAUAUUGGACAAUGGGGGGAACCCUGAUCCAGCGACGCCGCGUGAGUGAAGAAGUAUUUCGGUAUGUAAAGCUCUGUCAGCAGGGAAGAAAGAAAUGACGGUACCUGACCAAGAAGCCCCGGCUAACUCCGUGCCAGCAGCCGCAGUAAUACGUAGGGGGCAAGCGUUAUCCGGAAUUACUGGGUGUAAAGGGAGCGUAGACGGUUAAGUAAGUCUGGAGUGAAAGGCCGGGGCCCAACCCCGGGACUGCUCUGGAAACUAUUGAACUUGAGUGCAGGAGAGGUAAGCGGAAUUCCUAGUGUAGCGGUGAAAUGCGGAGAUAUUAGGAGGAACACCAGUGGCGAAGGCGGCUUACUAGACUGUAACUGACGUUGAGGCUCGAAAGCGUGGGGAGCAAACAGGAUUAGAUACCCGAGUAGUC
rnacentral:rRNA from 1 species